GAUAAAUUUAAUAAAUUUAUCCAUAUAAUCCUGAUAAUAUGGUUCGGGAGUUUCUACAGAAAGCCAUAAACUUUCUACUAUGGGUAAAUCCUUGGGUAGU
rnacentral:ncRNA from 2 species